AUUGAACGCUGGCGGCAGGCCUAACACAUGCAAGUCGACCGAGCGGCGGACGGGUGAGUAAUGUAUGGGGACUGCCCGAUAGAGGGGGAUAACUACUGGAAACGGUAGCUAAUACCGCAUACUAUCGGAUAACCCAUAUGGGAGUAGCUAGUAGGUGAGGUAAUGGCUCACCUAGGCGACGAGCCCUAGCUGGUCUGAGAGGAUGAUCAGCCACACUGGGACUGAGACAAGGCCCAGACUCCUACGGAGGCAGCAGUGGGGAAGAUUGCACAAUGGGCGCAAGCCUGAGGCAGCCAUGCCGCGUGGAUGAAGAAGGCCGUAGGGUUGUAAAGUACUUUCAGUCGGGAGGCGUUACCCACAGAAGAAGCACCGGCUAACUCCGUGCCAGCAGCCGCGGUAAUUC
rnacentral:rRNA from 1 species